rfam:Lactobacillus coryniformis subsp. coryniformis CECT 5711 COR000001, whole genome shotgun sequence.
UCUUUAUCCAGAGUGCUUGAGGGAUCUGGCCCGAUGACAGCACAGCAACCUACCACAAAGCAAGGUGCUAAUUCCAGCAGCAAGUAGCUGAGUAGAUAAGGA